rnacentral:rRNA from 1 species
GUGAUAUGAACCGUUAUAACCGGCGAUUUCCGAAUGGGGAAACCCAGUGUGAUUCGUCACACUAUCAUUAACUGAAUCCAUAGGUUAAUGAGGCGAACCGGGGGAACUGAAACAUCUAAGUACCCCGAGGAAAAGAAAUCAACCGAGAUUCCCCCAGUAGCGGCGAGCGAACGGGGAGCAGCCCAGAGCCUGAAUCAGUGUGUGUGUUAGUGGAAGCGUCUGGAAAGGCG